rnacentral:lncRNA from 1 species
CAUAAAUGAAAGUGAAAGUAAAUGCACAGAGCUGAUGUCGCCAUUUUAAAAAGACAGAAUCUUUACAAUAAUGAUUUACAAUACAGAAUAUCUUUAAUAGAAUCGUUUAUAAAUGCUAAAGCAGGAAUUUGUGUGCAGCUACCUGAUGGGAAUGUGAAUCGGUAUAUAAGUAAGAUAUGUGUUUCGUGCUGACUGCGAUUCUUCAAAACUCUAAACAGCAUGUGUUCACAUGUGACUAACUUUAUGUAUUUGAGUGAAGGCAGCUCGUAAUCUAUUUCUCCAAUUAUUUCUCUCAUUCAGCCGAAAUAUUGUGCCUUAUUGUUUUUUAAUGUAAGAACGUGCGAGGCUUCCGGUGUGUGUCAUUUACUUCCGGAUAUUUAGCUGUACAAAAACACUAUGUUAUGCUGCUUGAUAUCGCACACUGGUAUUUAUCUAAUUUUUAAAAUUCAUUAUUAUAGACACACUGGUUUGUAGCACACAUUGUUUUUUUUCCCCAUUCUUCUAGUAUUUAACUAUAGCUGCUGAUGCAUCAAAAGUCUCGCUCAUUCACAGAAAAUAGCUUACUUCCAAAAUAAGGUGGAUAAAGGCUGUUUGGUUGGCUUAGUUUUUGUGAUUGUUUGUCAGUUUCAUCUAGAGUCAGCGCCGGAGAUCAAACUGUUCAGAUCCAUCAUGGAUGAAACAUCUGGAGAUGAAGAUUUGUUUCCAGGACGCAGCUCGGUUCAUCAGAAGAGAUCAGAAGCAGAGUCCAGCUGUGUGUCUGUGAAGAGUGACUGGUCUAUGAUUGAGCCAAUAAUGUUUAACAGUGGAGAAAAACAGCCUGUUCUUAGCUCAGUUCAUCAGAAGAGAUCAGAAGCAGAGUCCAGCUGUGUGUCUGUGAAGAGUGACUGGUCUAUGGAUCAGCCAAUAAUGUUUAACAGUGGAGAUUCACGGCCUGAUCUCAGGUAUAAUGUUUGUAUAAAAAUAUGAUUAUAAAAUGACUUUUAAUAUUGUCAUAUAUUA